GGUUUUGAUAGAUGUAGACAUUUUGCAAAACUGUUGGCAUUUUCCAAUUUGCCAUUCAGGCUCUACUACCUUGUGAUGGACAUGUAGCUGUGGAGAUGAGGUCUUGUUUCCCAUCACUACCUCCAUUCCUCUACCCUCCCAUCUGUCAGUCCCUCGGGAAUCUGGGUCCUGGAGUCUGAUGCCUCACAUGAUGGAACCACAUCCUGCUACUUCUCAGACUCCUCCACAGGAGGGAUGGACAUCCAGAUGGUGCCUUCUCUCUGUGUGAAAAGAGGAAUGUUGGGCUGGACGGUGCCAGAGAACACCACGGCCUAGAGAACACCACGGCCUAGAGAACACCACGGCCUAGAGAACACCACGGCCUAGAGAACACCACGGCCUAGAGAACACCACGGCCUAGAGUGGA
rnacentral:lncRNA from 1 species